rnacentral:sRNA from 1 species
UCGGUUGGGAAACUCAUCGUACUAUAGUUGAAAACCGAGACAAACCGAGAUGCUAAUGGCGGGCUACAACGCCCCUCUCGAGGGACGUUCUCCUGGCGACAGGGGAUACAGUAGAUUACAAAGGUAUCGAGGAACUCAAAUCCUGUUUUUCGGAGUUUUCACUUAAUCUG